CAGUAUAUAUUUUAAUUAAAAUAUUAAUUUUGGAGAUUAAUGAUAAUAUUAUAUAUAUAUAUAUUUAUACUGA
rnacentral:tRNA from 1 species